UACGGGGGGGGCAAGCGUUGUUCGGAAUUACUGGGCGUAAAGGGCUCGUAAGCGGCCAACUAAGUCGGAUGUGAAAUCCCCAGGCUCAACCUGGGAACUGCAUCCGAUACUGGAUGGCUUGAAUCCGGGAGAGGGAUGCAGAAUUCCAGGUGUAGCGGUGAAAUGCGUAGAUAUCUGGAGGAACACCGGUGGCGAAGGCGGCAUCCUGGACCGGUAUUGACGCUGAGGCGCGAAAGCCAGGGGAGCAAACGGG
rnacentral:rRNA from 1 species